GGGUCUUUGGUAGUGGAGGGGUGGAGUAGUUGUGAUGGGCCUUUGGUGACCAAUGAAGUGAGAAAGAGGUGCGGGAGGUGGGGUGGAAGGGACACUGGGCCUUGGUUGAGAGGUGAUGAGGAGAAGGACUAGGGUGACAUCGAUGAAUGCUAGAGGUGGUGAUUGCAAGGAAUGGACCGGUGCUUGUGAGAAUUUCGUGCCCUAGCACAUAUCACAAGCUUGGUUUUUAAAUGCUUCUUGAAUCCUUGCAAGUUAAAAAAGGGUUGACUAGUGGAUCAGGCCAUAUUAGCAAGGUCUGGACCUCUGGACUGAGGAUUCAAGCGAAGGACGUAGUCCAGCAUGAGCCUUUUCUUCAAAUCGUGCAUUUGGAAGCCUGUUCAGAAGAAAAGGCCUGUGAUGGACUAAACUAUGUCUUAGCCUUGAUUUCUCUAGACUUUAAGAAUUGUUUAAACCCUUAAAAUGCUUGUGAUGGAUUGAACAACUAUGUUGACAAAAGGUACCCUAAAUUCUAUGUUUGUUUGGCAAAGCCACAAUUAUACUACUUACUAUAAAGUUGCAAGAAUUGUUUUUUAGGAAUAAUUGCUUUGAUUAUUUUUCAUAUCAUGAUCAUUUCUUGUCUCAACAUGAUUUGUUAAUUUAGCUUAUUCAUUCAAUAUAUUUUUAAUAAUCAACUAUCAUGGUUUUGACAUGAUGAAUUAUUGACAAUCAUAUUGUCCAAAAUAAUCUGAUAGUUUUUCUUCUUGACUAGUGAAACUUUAUGUGAGGAUUAAAGAAUCACUUAUUGUGCCUGUGCCAUAAGGCGUAUACUAUGCAAAUCGCCCUAACACUUGGCAUGCAUUGACAUGAAAAAAUGUUUAAUUUUGCAAAUAUAAUGGCAAUAUAUUGUAUUAAAAUUUUGACAUUACACUCAAUUUUAAUAGCUUUGUACAAGUGUAUAAGAAUGAGUGCUUUAAACAAACAUAGUUCCUAACUAAUUUUAGUAAUAUAAUAAUCCUAAAAUUUUAUGUUCUUUGUUCUCUACCAUUUGGGCUGCUUAGCUUCAACUAACGGGGAUAAACUAAUACUCAUGGUUUUAUGUGGGUCUAGGUGCUGGACACCCUGUAUGCACUAGGUGGGCGCCUAGGUGCUUAAGUGGAUGCUUAAGGAUGAAAUCCUUCCAAGCUUUUAUUAUGCAUAUUUUUAAACAUAUGCAUAAAUAAGCAUGUGCAUAUAUCAUAUAUAAUCUCUUUUCAUCAUAUAUAGCGUUAUGAAACCUGAUUUUCAUACUUAAAAAAGUCCAAAGAUCAAAAUACACUAGAAGGAGAGUGACAACAGUGUUGCUCCCACUGUAGCAGCCAGCAGGCUGUAGAACAUAGCUAGUUAGCCGGCAUCUAGCAAGAAGCGGGAGGAAGACAGGAUGCAGCAGCCAAUAGGCUGUAGGGCCACAGCCGACGACCAACCAUCAAGGAGGCAAGCAGAACAAAGAGGAAAAAUUAGAAAAAAGGUUGAGAAUGGCUAGAUGGAGAAGAGAUAGGAGUAGAAAACAAAGAGGAAUAGAAAAAUCAAAGGAAGGAGGAGGAGGAGAAGAAGAAGAAGAAGAGAUCAGUCUAACAAAGAAAGAAAGAAAAAAAUAUAAAUCUGGCACUAGUGCUGGCCGCCGCCACUUGUAGCUGUUGGUUGGCUUGCUAAUAGCUUUGAGCUCACUACCUACUAUUAGGUUGGUUGUAGCCUUCAUUGCCCUCCUACAU
rnacentral:lncRNA from 1 species